rnacentral:rRNA from 1 species
UACGUAGGGUGCGAGCGUUGUCCGGAAUUAUUGGGCGUAAAGGGCUCGUAGGCGGUUUGUCGCGUCGGGAGUGAAAACCUUGGGCUUAACUCAGGGCUUGCUUUCGAUACGGGCAGACUAGAGGUAUGCAGGGGAGAACGGAAUUCCUGGUGUAGCGGUGAAAUGCGCAGAUAUCAGGAGGAACACCGGUGGCGAAGGCGGGUCUCUGGGCCGUAACUGACGCUGAGGAGCGAAGGCGUGGGGAGCGAACAGG